GUAGGGGGCUGCAGUUUUUGGUGGACUGGGAGGGUUAUGGGCCGGAGGAGCGUUCUUGGGUUCCUCGUUCUUUGAUGCUUGACUCUGUGAUGGUUUCUGAUUUUCUUAGGUCACGUCGUGGGGCGGGUGCUGGUCGGCCGCCGGGUGGCGUCCCUUGAGGGGGGGGUACUGUCAUGGUCCGGGUGUGUGCCAGUGUGUCUCCCUCCGAGCCGGCGUCUCCACCCCUGGGAGGGGCCUCAGUGUUUUUGCUGAUCGUUGACAUCUGUGGGUAAUUAGCCGGGGGACUCAUAAGGCCAGCGUUCUCAAUCUCUCUUCGCCAGAUUCUCUGCUAAACAUCACUACACCUAACUGUUAAACCCCUGGCGAAGAGCUUCUACUUGGAUGCUGGACCUUCUGGCAGUCCCUCAGGCUACCACCAAAACUACCUACCUGCCUCUCUGCCUCCACGCCAGGAGUUUUUGGAUUUACACACCCGGAUUACUCCCCCUCUAUGUCAUCUCCGACCUCCGUUGGCAAGUACACAUGACCCCGACCUUUUCCUGGACCUUUUGUGACUUGCUUUCCAGUCCAAUCCCCGGACCCGGACCAGAUCAUUAUUUAGUUAACGUCUACGCUCACCUUUUGUUUAUGAAUAUUUUGUGUGCACAUUAAACAUUAUUCUUAAAAUAUA